AAUGUGAUUAUAUUACAAUCUCUUUACAUUUAAAUCUCUUUACAUAAAUCUCUUUAAAAAUGUUAAAGUGAUAGCACUCAAGAAAUAACAUCUCUGCCCUACACACACACACACACACACACACACACACACACACACACACACACUGCCUAUAGGUAGAAUAAUAGACAUCUCAGACACAGACACAAGUCCAAAAUUCUGAGGAUAGACUCUUUGAGUUGCUGCUCAAUUGUAGGCAAGUGCGAUCCACCCAGGCAACCCUGUGUGGUUGGUGGCUGCAGACAGCCUGCACUCAGGAGCCUUUCCACCUUGGCUGGGGGGUCUGCGGGUGCCAGGAGACGGCAUCUGGGUAGUGAGUCAUAAGUGGUACUUGCUGAGCGCAGUAAAGAAAGCGGAUGUAAUACUUCCUUAACUCCAGAAACAGCCACCAACGCUCUUUACCCCUCCUGCCUCUGCACCCCUUUUCUCUUUGACUGAUAAACCACUCAGAGGUUUUUAAUUAGGACUUGGGGAGCCCUGGAAAGUUCCGGAAGGAGAUGAAACUUCAGUUUUGACCUUGAAUACCAGUAGACUUCAGCUAGGUAGAAGACGAAAGUGAGGACUCUCCCCCUCAAGCCCCUCCCCCCCCCCCCCCGCGCUACUGGUGGGGGGGGGGGAUGCGCAGAGGAGAAGGAACAAAAGGACUUUUAAAGGCACAGAAGUAAACAGUGAUGCCUACUUUUAUAAGGCCUGGUUUAGGGGAAGUAAAGAACCACAUCCCAAACAGCUGGCUGUUGGUCACCCCAGCUCCCAAAAUUGGACCGUGGUCUUCAGCAUCAUCCCCCACGCUGCAGCCGUCAGCGUUUUCUGAUUCUUUGCCCAGUUCCUCACUCAGACUUGCUCUCCAUCACCCUGUGUCAUGCUCCGGACCAUCCUCCUAAUGAAUACGUGCCAGGUCCCGGGAGCUGACAAGCUUUCAAUACAAAGAAACAAAUAAUACACGCCAGGGAGAGGAGCCGAACAAAAUAAAGAUAGUAGGGGGUGUUUUGAGUGAAGGGCAUCAUGGAACAGGCACAUUUCAGAGACAUUUUGGAAAGGGGAAACCUGAUGUGUUAAUUAGGAGUCUAUUUCCAUAAUAAGACUACGCAGGGGAAGGUAAUAAAAGAAACAAAAGGCAGUGGAGGGGACUGCACUAGCGGGAGUCGGUAUUCUGUAGCCGAGAGGAGGGGUUGGUUAUUCUCUGUUGUUUCAUGUGUGUCUGUGGUCUGUUGGCUCCCUAAGACAGGGGACUGCCCCUUUUGUGUUUUGUAAAGCACCAUGAAUAAAGAGCUUCGGGUAUAAAUAACAUUGUGGUUUCUGCCCCCCAACAGGAUGUACAGCAGCCCUACCCACUCCAGCUGCUGGUGGGAUUUGACUUUUCAGGGUAACUUCAAUUUAAAAGAACAGUCUCCUGUUGAGAAGGGGCCCCCACGGAGGGUUAAAAACAAGAGGAAGUGCUGGGAGCCUUGAGGUGCUUAGCACAGUGGGUGCCCAUUCUGAAGAAAGGGAGCAUGUGGGGAUGGGCAAAGGCCUUUCCUCAGCUUUAGGCGGUCUGGCUUAGGGAACUUGGGCCCCAGGCACAGUAGUUACAAAGACACAGAGCACAACUCUACUCUGCCACUUGCUGGAGUCGCAGUAGGACCAUACAACGGGUACUGUUAGGCUGAGAAAAGACAGCCUAUCUUCCAGACUGCAGCCAGAUUAAUUUUCCAAAAGCGCAACUUUGAACAUGCCUUUCUGCUGUUCCGAACUGGCAAUGGCCCCCAACUGCCUGGCAAAGCAGUUGCUGUGGGGUUGGUGGCGCUCGGGGCUUUGCGGAGGAGCCACCAGUGAGUCUAUUAGGAACCUUCUCAAUCCACAUUUCCAUCUUCGUGGGGGAGGGGUGAUUAGGUCACUGUGUUGCUGGGCUACUCAGAAUGUCCGCAGUAGUCACUUGGGACACAGCUCUCUGAAUACCGAUUUUCCAGACUGUUAAAGAGCUGGCUGAGUGGAAAGCUCUCCACUUACUGGCUGUGCCAUGCUGUGCCAUGCUGUGCACAUUUCUUAAUUUUUGUAGGAUUUAGAUGCUUACCUGUAACGCAGAGCGUUGUUAUAUCUGCAGCAUCUUGAUCAAUAUUUGGUGCCUUGUAAUCUUUAAUUUUAUAUUACUAUCGUUAUCACUUAUGUAUAGGAGAGAAAAUAAAUUAAUUUG
rnacentral:lncRNA from 1 species